rnacentral:misc_RNA from 1 species
GAUGAAGAACGUAGCGAAAUGCGAUAAGUAGUGUGAAUUGCAGAAUUCAGUGAAUCAUCGAAUCUUUGAACACACAUUGCGCCCCUUGGUAUUCCAUGGGGCAUGCCUGUUCGAGCGUCAUUUGUACCUUCAAGCUUUGCUUGGUGUUGGGUGUUUGUCUCGCCUUUGCGUGUAGACUCGCCUUAAAAUAAUUGGCAGCCGGCGUAUUGAUUUCGGAGCGCAGUACAUCUCGCGCUUUGCACUCAUAACGACAGCGUCCAAAAGUACAUUUUACACUCUUGACCUCGGAUCAGGUAGGGAUACCCGCUGAACUUAAGCAUAUCAAUAAGCGGAGGA